GAAUUCGCCCUUAGAGUUUGAUCAUGGCUCAGAGCGAACGCUGGCGGCAGGCUUAACACAUGCAAGUCGAACGGGCGUAGCAAUACGUCAGUGGCAGACGGGUGAGUAUCGCGUGGGAACGUACCUUUUGGUUCGGAACAACACAGGGAAACUUGUGCUAAUACCGAAUAAGCCCUUACGGGGAAAGAUUUAUCGCCGAAAGAUCGGCCCGCGUCUGAUUAGCUUGUUGGUGAGGUAACGGCUCACCAAGGCGACGAUCAGUAGCUGGUCUGAGAGGAUGAUCAGCCACAUUGGGACUGAGACACGGCCCAAACUCCUACGGGAGGCAGCAGUGGGGAAUAUUGGACAAUGGGCGAAAGCCUGAUCCAGCCAUGCCGCGUGAGUGAUGAAGGCCCUAGGGUUGUAAAGCUCUUUUGUGCGGGAAGAUAAUGACGGUACCGCAAGAAUAAGCCCCGGCUAACUUCGUGCCAGCAGCCGCGGUAAUACGAAGGGGGCUAGCGUUGCUCGGAAUCACUGGGCGUAAAGGGUGCGUAGGCGGAUCUUUAAGUCAGAGGUGAAAGCCUGGAGCUCAACUCCAGAACUGCCUUUGAUACUGAGGAUCUCGAGUUCGGGAGAGGUGAGUGGAACUGCGAGUGUAGAGGUGAAAUUCGUAGAUAUUCGCAAGAACACCAGUGGCGAAGGCGGCUCACUGGCCCGAUACUGACGCUGAGGCACGAAAGCGUGGGGAGCAAACAGGAUUAGAUACCCUGGUAGUCCACGCCCUAAACUAUGUCAACUAGUUGUCGGAUCUAAUUAAGGAUUUGGUAACGUAGCUAACGCGUGAAGUUGACCGCCUGGGGAGUACGAUCGCAAGAUUAAAACUCAAAGGAAUUGACGGGGACCCGCACAAGCGGUGGAUUAUGUGGAUUAAUUCGAUGCAACGCGAAAACCUUACCUAC
rnacentral:rRNA from 1 species